UAGAAUAUUACCCAGGUCCACUGUUGGAAACACUCCUGAAAGAGGCAGCUCUGGAGGCUGGUCACCUGAAGACAGUGAGAAAACGGAUGUGAGAAAGGAAGGACCGGAUCAUCCAUCAGACGGAAUCCAGACGUGACAAUUAGAGUUAAUGAACCACAACCCAUGAAGCUGCCUCAGCACCUUUUUACAACCCCACUUCAUGGCCUUAAUAAAAAUAGCAGGGCUUAUUUUACAGAGCACAUCUGCUCUAAAUUCUCAAAGGAGAAACUUUGCAUUCAGAAGUUACAUUUGGUUUCUUCACCACUUUUCAGUCAUGUAUAAAGAAUAUUUAACGGCUGUGUAUUUACUUUUCUAUCUGUUCAGUCAACAGAGCAUUGGAAGAUAACGCUUUUUUAUAAUAAGACUGCACUACUAUAAUAAUUACUUAGCUUACAUUAGCAUAAUAAGGAUGCUGAGGAUGACUGAAAAGUAACAGACAAAUAUUUUCUUCGAUUUCUCCAAUGUAAUGGUAUCUACAUCCCCAUAUUGCCUUUAAUUUCAGAUAUUUAGAAAUAGUGUGCUUUACAAAAAUCAGGCUGAUUUGCUGCUUUUCAAAUAUGCGUCACUCUGACUUGGUACUGAAGUCUUCAAUUUCUUCACAGAGCAGACAAAGGAUUUCUGUAGUUAUCCAGUCUUAGGAUCCUACUUAUUUCCUUAGGUCUCAGCUACCAGUUCCAUACCCACACUGCUUCUUCUGUCCACAAGCAAAAAGAAGCAAAGCGGAAGGACAAAGUAGCUCAUAGAUUAAUUGUUAGAAGACUUCCUUUUGCAUAGUAGGAGAUGACUGGAAGAGCUCUUGGCUCAGCUAUAAGGUAUAAUAUAUACAGGGAAGAAGUAAUUUUGUUCCUUACCACAGUAACAUGAGUAAAAAUAUGACAAAAUUGACCCUGUUGUAUCACAAAGCUUCAGAUGGCAGUUGCUGAGAAGCCUAAUUAUGAUGCAUUGCUUUCAGAUUGUCAGUGUUUUUCAGGAAAGUAGCGAGAAUACCUUCUUU